UGGUCUUGACAUCCUUCUGACCGGUCCUUAACCGGAUCUUUCCUUCGGGACAGGAGUGACAGGUGGUGCAUGGUUGUCGUCAGCUCGUGUCGUGAGAUGUUGGGUUAAGUCCCGCAACGAGCGCAACCCCUAUCUUUAGUAGCCAGCAUUUCAGGUGGGCACUCUAGAGAGACUGCCAGGGAUAACCUGGAGGAAGGUGGGGACAACGUCAAAUCAUCAUGCCCCUUAUGACCAGGGCUACACACGUGCUACAAUGGCGUAAACAGAGGGAAGCAGCCUCGUGAGAGUGAGCAAAUCCCAAAAAUAACGUCUCAGUUCGGAUUGUAGUCUGCAACUCGACUACAUGAAGCUGGAAUCGCUAGUAAUCGCGAAUCAGAAUGUCGCGGUGAAUACGUUCCCGGGUCUUGUACACACCG
rnacentral:rRNA from 1 species